rnacentral:rRNA from 1 species
UACGUAGGGGGCGAGCGUUGUCCGGAUUUAUUGGGCGUAAAGAGCUCGUAGGCGGUUCGGUAAGUCGAAUGUGAAAUCUCCACGCUCAACGUGGAGGGGUCAUUCGAAACUGCCGCGACUUGAGUACGGUAGGGGAGUGUGGAAUUCCCGGUGUAGCGGUGAAAUGCGCAGAGAUCGGGAGGAACACCCGUAGCGAAGGCGGCACUCUGGGCCGAUACUGACGCUGAGGAGCGAAAGCGUGGGGAGCAAACAGG